rnacentral:ncRNA from 1 species
UACUAUUGACAUUUUUGCAUGUGAAUAGGGAGCUCAAGGGCGAAAAUCUAUUUCCCUCAAUAAAGUGACUUUAAGUGACUUAAAAUCAAAAAUGAUGUAAGAGGUAACAAUCUCACUUGGUAAAGUGUUCCAAGCUCGUACGACUCGUUUGCUUAAAAAAAACUUUCUGAUAAUCAAUCACGUGCGUUCGCUAUUGACCAUGCAGAUGAGUUGUGAAGGCAAAGUCGAAGAAAUCCUUUGAUCUCAGGGAAGAAUCAUGGCCCCGGAUAAUCCGGAAUGUGCAAAGCAGGCUACAUCAUUAGUGCCUGUAGGAUAGAGGAAAUAAAUCAAGCUUUUUUAAUCUGUCUUGCUACAGUAAAGUCUUAAAAUCCUCGACCAUGUUCGUUGGUCUCCGUUUCACCUGUUCGAGGAGGUCAAAAUCUUUCUUCAUCCACGGUAUCCAGGCUGGUUAUCCAUUAUCUAAGUGCGGUCUUACGAAGAUGCUAUUUACUUUUCCGAAGAGAUCAGGGGGAAUAUUUUAAACGCACGUCUAAUCCAAUGCAGUGUACAUGUUGCUUCCUGUACUGCUUCCUUAGAGUGUUCUCAGGGCAUCAAAUUCGCAGUUGUCCACAUACCCAGAUAUUUGUGUGUUUCUACCUCUUUUAAUGCAGUGCCAUUAAUAAAGUACUGGUAUUUUAGAAAUACUUUUCGACCAGCUCUUAUGUGUAUGAUAACGUAAUUGGAUACAUUAAACUGAAGCAGUCAACUAGCCAACCAGGCCUUUAGUUUGUCGAUAUUCGACUGUUUCCCAUUUGCGUCAUCAGCACAGCUGACUUCAGUCCAUAUUUUUAUGUCAUCUGUGAACAUGACAGCUUCACAUUCUAGGUCAUUAAGAGAGUCAUUAAGGUAGAUAUGGAAGAGUUUGGGGCCCAAAACAGAACCCUAUGGAACACCACUUUCUACGUUCGCCAAUUCCGAGCUAGAGUUUUCGUGUGUCUUGGCGAUCCUUUUCAUCAACCGAUAUCCAGACUUUGAAGCAAAAGGUGUCAGAAAAGUUACCACAGGGAUAACUGGCUAGUGACGGCCAAACGUUCAUAGGGACUUCGCUUUUUGAUCAUUCGAUGUAGGCUCUUCCUAUCAUGGUGAAGCUUAAUUCACCAAGCUUUGGAUCGGGAACGUGAGCUGUGGUAAGACAGUCGUGAUACAGGUUAGUUUUACCCUUCUGAUUGUUGAACUGUUUAAAAAGUGAAGUACAAUUAAGUCGUGAAUUUGGUAACCAUGUUUAGUACGAGAGGAACCGAAGGUACAGACAUUUGGUACAUGUGCCUGUACGAGCAGCCAAUGGUGCAAAGCUGUCAUCUGAGGGAUUGAGACUGAACGUCUCUUAGUCUGAAUGCUUUACAAUAGAGUUUAACUGGCCCCGUGUUUGGGCCGAUAUAUAACUUUCUGUUCAGGGCCAGUGGGCCCUACCGAACCUUUUUGGUCUGGAAAUGUUAUGCCAGAGCUGUGAUAAUAACCGCAUGCACCGGGCGAUGGUGUUGUGGGGGUCCACACGAUAUCCAAUAGUGGUAUGAGCGUAACGGCCCUAAGUCGUACGUAGACGACUUAUAGUUUUUUCGAGGAGACGUUAGUAUUUGAGCAACUAUCACACUGCGAGGUUUUAAGUCCUAUCUCUACCCAACGCAAUGAUUUGA